rnacentral:tRNA from 1 species
GGGGAUGUAGCUCAGUGAUAGAGUGCUUACAGAGCAUAUAUGAGUACGAGACCCUGGGUUCAAUUCCCAGUACUGCCC